rnacentral:rRNA from 1 species
AACGAACGCUGGCGGCAGGCUUAACACAUGCAAGUCGAGCGCCCCGCAAGGGGAGCGGCAGACGGGUGAGUAACGCGUGGGGAUCUGCCUAGUGGUACGGAACAACACGGGGAAACUCGUGCUAAUACCGUAUAAGUCCUUCGGGAGAAAGAUUUAUCGCCAUUAGAUGAACCCGCGUCUGAUUAGCUAGUUGGUGAGGUAACGGCUCACCAAGGCGACGAUCAGUAGCUGGUCUGAGAGGAUGAUCAGCCACACUGGGACUGAGACACGGCCCAGACUCCUACGGGAGGCAGCAGUGGGGAAUAUUGGACAAUGGGGGCAACCCUGAUCCAGCCAUGCCGCGUGAGUGAUGAAGGCCUUAGGGUUGUAAAGCUCUUUCGCUAGGGAAGAUAAUGACGGUACCUAGAUAAGAAGCCCCGGCUAACUUCGUGCCAGCAGCCGCAGUAACAC